UACGAAGGGGGCUAGCGUUGUUCGGAAUUACUGGGCGUAAAGCGCACGUAGGCGGAUAUUUAAGUCAGGGGUGAAAUCCCAGAGCUCAACUCUGGAACUGCCUUUGAUACUGGGUAUCUCGAGUAUGGAAGAGGUGAGUGGAAUUCCGAGUGUAGAGGUGAAAUUCGUAGAUAUUCGGAGGAACACCAGUGGCGAAGGCGGCUCGCUGGUCCAUUACUGACGCUGAGGUGCGAAAGCGUGGGGAGCAAACAGG
rnacentral:rRNA from 1 species